rnacentral:rRNA from 1 species
UACGUAGGGUGCAAGCGUUGUCCGGAAUUAUUGGGCGUAAAGAGCUCGUAGGCGGUCUGUCGCGUCGGAUGUGAAAAUCCAGGGCUCAACCCUGGACCUGCAUUCGAUACGGGCAGACUAGAGUUCGGUAGGGGAGACUGGAAUUCCUGGUGUAGCGGUGAAAUGCGCAGAUAUCAGGAGGAACACCAGAGGCGAAGGCGGCCUACUGGGCUGCACCUGACGCUGAGCCGCGAAAGCCAGGGGAGCGAACGGG